AAAGCGUGCGCAGGCGGUUUUGUAAGUCUGAUGUGAAAUCCCCGGGCUCAACCUGGGAAUUGCAUUGGAGACUGCAAGGCUAGAAUCUGGCAGAGGGGGGUAGAAUUCCACGUGUAGCAGUGAAAUGCGUAGAUAUGUGGAGGAACACCGAUGGCAAAGGCAGCCCCCUGGGUCAAGAUUGACGCUCAUGCACGAAAGCGUGGGGAGCAAACAGGAUUAGAUACCCCAGU
rnacentral:rRNA from 1 species